rnacentral:rRNA from 1 species
UGGGGAAUAUUGCACAAUGGGCGCAAGCCUGAUGCAGCCAUGCCGCGUGUGUGAAGAAGGCCUUCGGGUUGUAAAGCACUUUCAGCGAGGAGGAAGGGUAGUGUGUUAAUAGCACAUUGCAUUGACGUUACUCGCAGAAGAAGCACCGGCUAACUCCGUGCCAGCAGCCGCGGUAAUACGGAGGGUGCAAGCGUUAAUCGGAAUUACUGGGCGUAAAGCGCACGCAGGCGGUUUGUUAAGUCAGAUGUGAAAUCCCCGCGCUUAACGUGGGAACUGCAGUUGAAACUGGCAAGCUAGAGUCUUGUAGAGGGGGGUAGAAUUCCAGGUGUAGCGGUGAAAUGCGUAGAGAUCUGGAGGAAUACCGGUGGCGAAGGCG